UUUCUUUGAGUGCCCUUUCCUUUUUUUUUUCUCUCUCUUUUUUUUUUUUUUUUUGGUAUUUUUCUACUCUGCGACAAACUGAAAAGAUUCGAGCACACACUAAUUUAACAACCCUGCUUCGUCGUCUUCUUUUUUUCCCCCUUCUGCUUCCAGGAUAAUUAAAAGAGAAACCUGUAAAGACAACGUUCCUUCAAGCAAGUUGGUGCUGUAACGUGCUGUGUUCACAGACUCCUGCUAGCAGGGCAGAGCUGAGUGUCCAGCAGAAGUCCUGGGGCCACCUCAUCAAGGGAUUCUCACACCUCUGGCUCAUCCCACUUCCAAACAAAGACCUGGUGGCAUCAUCCAAGAUGUAAUCCUCCCAGACCUCUCCAGGCACAGCCAGGCCUCUUCCAAACCCCAAGAGAUGGCUUUGAUGUAUAGAAAGGAGAGACAUUGAUCCAGGACACUUCAUCAUGCAAAUUCCAGAUAAAUUUGACUUGCUCAAGUGGACCAAAAGCAAAUGAUCUAGCAGAGAAACUUCCACCAGAGGCCUGAAGUGAGAGCCUUCACUCAAAAGGACUAUGGAAUCAACCUAAUAAAGUCA
rnacentral:lncRNA from 1 species